rnacentral:rRNA from 1 species
GCAUAACGCGAAGAACCUUACCCACCUUUGACAUGUACGGAAUCCUUUAGAGAUAGAGGAGUGCUCGAAAGAGAGCCGUAACACAGGUGCUGCAUGGCUGUCGUCAGCUCGUGUCGUGAGAUGUUGGGUUAAGUCCCGCAACGAGCGCAACCCUUGCCAUUAGUUGCUACGAAAGGGCACUCUAAUGGGACUGCCGGUGACAAACCGGAGGAAGGUGGGGAUGACGUCAAGUCCUCAUGGCCCUUAUAGGUGGGGCUACACACGUCAUACAAUGGCUGGUACAAAGGGUUGCCAACCCGCGAGGGGGAGCUAAUCCCAUAAAGCCAGCCGUAGUCCGGAUCGCAGUCUGCAACUCGACUGCGUGAAGUCGGAAUCGCUAGUAAUCGUGGAUCAGAAUGUCACGGUGAAUACGUUCCCGGGUCUUGUACACACCG